GGAAGUAAAAGUGUAACAAGGUUUCCGUAGGUGAACCUGCGGAAGGAUCAUUAUUGUAUAACCGAGGUGCGAGGGCUGUCGCUGACCCGAAAGGUCGUGCACGCCCGAGUGCCCUCACACACAUCCAUCUCACCCCUAUGUGCACCACCGCGUGGGUCCCCCUUUGGCUUGUUCGGAGGGGGGCUUACGUUUUCACACAAACUUUGUAUGCAGUGUAGAAUGUAUUCUUUGUUUUUGCGAUCACGCAAUCAAUACAACUUUCAACAACGGAUCUCUUGGCUCUC
rnacentral:misc_RNA from 1 species